AACAGGAUUAGAUACCCUGGUAGUCCACGCCGUAAACGAUGUCGACUUGGAGGUUGUGCCCUUGAGGCGUGGCUUCCGGAGCUAACGCGCUAAGUCGACCGCCUGGGGAGUACGGCCGCAAGGUUAAAACUCAAAUGAAUUGACGGGGGCCCGCACAAGCGGUGGAGCAUGUGGUUUAAUUCGAUGCAACGCGAAGAACCUUACCUACUCUUGACAUCCAGAGAACUUAGCAGAGAUGCUUUGGUGCCUUCGGGAACUCUGAGACAGGUGCUGCAUGGCUGUCGUCAGCUCGUGUUGUGAAAUGUUGGGUUAAGUCCCGCAACGAGCGCAACCCUUAUCCUUUGUUGCCAGCGGUUCGGCCGGGAACUCAAAGGAGACUGCCAGUGAUAAACUGGAGGAAGGUGGGGAUGACGUCAAGUCAUCAUGGCCCUUACGAGUAGGGCUACACACGUGCUACAAUGGCAUAUACAAAGAGAAGCGACCUCGCGAGAGCAAGCGGACCUCAUAAAGUAUGUCGUAGUCCGGAUUGGAGUCUGCAACUCGACCCCAUGAAGUCGGAAUCGCUAGUAAUCGUGGAUCAGAAUGCCACGGUGAAUACGUUCCCGGGCCUUGUACACACCGCCCGUCACACCAUGGGAGUGGGUUGCAAAAGAAGUAGGUAGCUUAACCUUCGGGAGGGCGCUUACCACUUUGUGAUUCAUGACUGGGGUGAAGUCGUAACAAGGUAACC
rnacentral:rRNA from 1 species